AGAGUUUGAUCCUGGCUCAGAACGAACGCUGGCGGCGCGUUUUAAGCAUGCAAGUCGAACGGCAAGGUAAGAGCUUGCUCUUACCCUAGAGUGGCGGACUGGUGAGUAACGCGUGGGUAAUCUACCUAUAGGAUGGGGAUAGCUACUAGAAAUAGUAGAUAAUACCGAAUGUGCUUAUAUGUUAAAUCAUGUAAGGAAAGGGAGCUAAGGCUUUGCCUAAAGAAGAGCCCGCGUCCCAUUAGCUAGUUGGUACGGUAACGGCGUACCAAGGCGACGAUGGGUAUCCGACCUGAGAGGGUGACCGGACACAUUGGGACUGAGACACAGCCCAGACUCCUACGGGAGGCAGCAGCUAAGAAUCUUCCGCAAUGGGCGCAAGCCUGACGGAGCGACGCCGCGUGAAUGAAGAAGGCCGAAAGGUUGUAAAAUUCUUUUAAGUUUGAAGAAUAACCAGUAUAGGGAAUGAUACUGAGAUGACGGUAAAACUUGAAUAAGCCCCGGCUAAUUACGUGCCAGCAGCCGCGGUAACACGUAAGGGGCGAGCGUUGUUCGGAAUUAUUGGGCGUAAAGGGUAUGCAGGCGGUUAGAUAAGCCCGGUGUGAAAUGCUCAAGCUUAACUUGAGAACUGCACUAGGUACUGUCUAACUUGAAUCACGAAGGGGAAACUGGAAUUCCAGGUGUAGGGGUGGAAUCUGUAGAUAUCUGGAAGAAUACCGGUGGCGAAGGCGGGUUUCUGGUCGAUGAUUGACGCUGAGAUACGAAAGUGUGGGGAGCAAACAGGAUUAGAUGCCCUGGUAGUCCACACCAUAAACGAUGUACACUAGGUGUUGGGGCAAGAGCCUCAGUGCCGAAGCAAACGUGAUAAGUGUACCGCCUGGGGAGUAUGCCGGCAACGGUGAAACUCAAAGGAAUUGACGGGGGCCCACACAAGCGGUGGAGCAUGUGGUUUAAUUCGAGGGUACGCGAGGAACCUUACCUGGGUUUGACAUCAAGAGCAAUACUGUAGAGAUAUGGUAGCGUAGCAAUACGGCUUUUGACAGGUGCUGCAUGGCUGUCGUCAGCUCGUGCCGUGAGGUGUUGGGUUAAGUC
rnacentral:rRNA from 1 species